UACGAAGGGGGCUAGCGUUGCUCGGAAUCACUGGGCGUAAAGCGCACGUAGGCGGAUUGUUAAGUCAGGGGUGAAAUCCUGGAGCUCAACUCCAGAACUGCCUUUGAUACUGAGGAUCUUGAGUUCGGGAGAGGUGAGUGGAACUGCGAGUGUAGAGGUGAAAUUCGUAGAUAUUCGCAAGAACACCAGUGGCGAAGGCGGACUCACUGGCCCGAUACUGACGCUGAGGCACGAAAGCGUGGGAGCA
rnacentral:rRNA from 1 species